AUGAACGCUGGCGGCUGCCUAACNCAUGCAAGUCGAACGAAGCACAUACGACAGAACUCUUCGGAGGGAAGAUGUAUGUGACUGAGUGGCGGACGGGUGAGUAACGCGUGGGUAACCUGCCUUAUACAGGGGGAUAACAGUUAGAAAUGACUGCUAAUACCGCAUAAGCGCACAGGAUUGCAUGAUCUGGUGUGAAAAACUCCGGUGGUAUGAGAUGGACCCGCGUCUGAUUAGCUAGUUGGUGAGGUUAACGGCCCACCAAGGCGACGAUCAGUAGCCGACCUGAGAGGGUGACCGGCCACAUUGGGACUGAGACACGGCCCAGACUCCUACGGGAGGCAGCAGUGGGGGAUAUUGCACAAUGGAGGAAACUCUGAUGCAGCGACGCCGCGUGAGUGAAGAAGUAUUUCGGUAUGUAAAGCUCUAUCAGCAGGGAAGAAAAUGACGGUACCUGACUAAGAAGCCCCGGCUAACUACGUG
rnacentral:rRNA from 1 species